GACGAGAGGCCCGAGCGUUAAUCGGAAUUACUGGGCGUAAAGCGCGCGUAGGUGGUUUGAUAAGCGAGAUGUGAAAGCCCCGGGCUUAACCUGGGAACGGCAUUUCGAACUGUCAGGCUAGAGUGUGGUAGGGGGUAGUGGAAUUUCCUGUGUAGCGGUGAAAUGCGUAGAUAUAGGAAGGAACACCAGUGGCGAAGGCGGCUACCUGGACCAACACUGACACUGAGGUGCGAAAGCGUGGGGAGCAAACAGG
rnacentral:misc_RNA from 1 species